AUCUGCUUCCUGUCUACAGUUGACCUCAUGUCAUUAAACCACUGAGAGCAGAAUUACAGAUGGGACGGUAGUGGUAACUAAUGAGACAUAAACAAGGAGUUACUGGGCAGACUUUAUAGAGCACUCAUUUAAAGGGAGCUGAGUCAUCUGGGAGAAUGCCCUCAUUUUACUCUUCAUUCUUUUUCCUUCUUUCUGUUUGGAACAUGAAAGUGGUAACUGAGUCUUCAGCAUCUUGCAACAUUGAGGCAGCCUUGGGAAUGGGCGCUACGUGCUAAUGACAGUUAUGCAGAAAAAAAGUGAAAGAACCCAGGGUAAUGAUGACAUUGUGCAGAAGUCAUAAUGGAUCCUUGCCUUCAGACCUCUCUAAGAGCAAAAAAUAAACUAUCUUUAUAAGCUA